rnacentral:rRNA from 1 species
AGGACGAACGCUGGCGGCGUGCUUAACACAUGCAAGUCGAACGGUAAGGCCCCUUCGGGGGUACACGAGUGGCGAACGGGUGAGUAACACGUGGGUAAUCUGCCCUGCACUUCGGGAUAAGCCUGGGAAACCGGGUCUAAUACCGGAUAUGAGCUCUCACCGCAUGGUGGGGGUUGGAAAGUUUUUCGGUGCAGGAUGAGUCCGCGGCCUAUCAGCUUGGUUGGUGGGGUAAUGGCCUACCGAAGGCGACGACGGGUA